rnacentral:rRNA from 1 species
AGAGUUUGAUCCUGGCUCAGAUUGAACGCUGGCGGCAUGCCUUACACAUGCAAGUCGAACGGCAGCGGGCCUUCGGGUGCCGGCGAGUGGCGAACGGGUGAGUAAUGCAUCGGAACGUGCCAUUGAGUGGGGGAUAACGUAGCGAAAGUUGCGCUAAUACCGCAUAUUCUGUGAGCAGGAAAGCAGGGGACCGCAAGGCCUUGCGCUCUUUGAGCGGCCGAUGUCAGAUUAGCUAGUUGGUGAGGUAAGGGCUUACCAAGGCGACGAUCUGUAGCGGGUCUGAGAGGACGACCAGCCACACUGGGACUGAGACACGGCCCAGACUCCUACGGGAGGCAGCAGUGGGGAAUUUUGGACAAUGGGCGCAAGCCUGAUCCAGCAAUGCCGCGUGCAGGAAGAAGGCCUUCGGGUUGUAAACUGCUUUUGUCAGGGAAGAAAUCCUCUGGGUUAAUACCUCGGGGGGAUGACGGUACCUGAAGAAUAAGCACCGGCUAACUACGUGCCAGCAGCCGCGGUAAUACGUAGGGUGCGAGCGUUAAUCGGAAUUACUGGGCGUAAAGCGUGCGCAGGCGGUUGUGCAAGACAGGUGUGAAAUCCCCGGGCUUAACCUGGGAACUGCACUUGUGACUGCACAGCUAGAGUACGGUAGAGGGGGAUGGAAUUCCGCGUGUAGCAGUGAAAUGCGUAGAUAUGCGGAGGAACACCGAUGGCGAAGGCAAUCCCCUGGACCUGUACUGACGCUCAUGCACGAAAGCGUGGGGAGCAAACAGGAUUAGAUACCCCGGUAGU